CUCUAUGUUCAUCUAAAGUAUCUUGAACUUUGUUUAUCUAUUCUCCCAGGUUUUUGCACUCUUUCCGUGUUCACCUGAUUCCUGAGAGAAGGCAUUCCAGACACAAGCCAUCUUCGGAUUGAAGCCAGUGUCCGGACAUCUGAAAUAUAAAACUGUUGUCCGAACCUCCAUAACUGACAACCCUAGAGCCAAAGGGAAUAAAUGUAAUGGGGGACAGGAGAAUUAAUGACUCUAGGACUCCAUGAGCAAGCCAUAUGGAACCAAGAGGUUGGCCCUUCCAGAGUCCUGUCACUGACCCUCUCUAUAAAUCACAGAAAAGAGGGAAAGGAGAGAGAGAAAGAGAGAAGAAACAGAAGUGUGGCAGGUGCCAGCGAUUGUUUUUAAGAAUUUCGGAUACAUUUUACUAUUUAAUCCUCAUCACUAUCACCACCACAACAAUAGUAAUAACCACUAAAGAUCACAGAGGUUUGACCAGGUGCUGAGAGAAGUGUCUUACCUGUGUCGUCUUACAACAUCAUGAUGAAUUGUGCACUCUGGUGAAGAAAGUGAGACAACAAGCAUUGCAGCCAUAUUUUAUGGAUGAAGAAAUUGAGGCUCAGAGACGCUAAGUAACCUCCCAAAGUCACAGGAUUAGUAGGAGACAGAGCUGAGUCUACUCCAUUGGUUCCAAAGUCGAUCUCUUAGUCACCCCCACACUGUCUGCACCCUCUUUCCCCUCAUAGCUUUAUUCCUCCUCAUCUUCUUCCGUCUCCUGCCUUUUCCUUUCUUCUUCUCAUCCUAUUCUUCCUUCCUUUAUGUCUCCUGUUUUUCAAUUCUCUCUUCUCUCCAACCAUUUUUAAGAUGCCAGCUUAUAUAUGCAAAUAUUCUUUUUUUCUUCCAGCAAUGUCUAGUUCAGUGCAUUAAAGAAUUGCGUUUUUCAACUUUCUUUUUAAGCAUCUCCAUCAAAAUUGUCUCUGCCCCUGAUGUUGUGUCUGCACUUUCAUCUAGGAAUUAAGGUCUGGUGUGUUCCCUUUUGGGUUACUGCCCCUCUAAUAUAUUAAUCAGUGGACCCAGGCCGCCAGAGGGUGCUUCUUGGGAGUUGCAGUUGAGGACUGUCAGAUAUCUAGGCAAAACAGGGUCAUGAUCGCCCUGCUGCUAGAUUCCAAACUGACAAGAAUAUACAAGAUGCCACAUUAGAAGUUGUAGGAUUAAGUGCUCAACAUCUCCUUGGACAUUGUCUAGGCCAGCUCCCUACAUUUUACAAAUAAGGAAAUGUGAUCCCAAAGAGAGUGUUACUUGAUUUUGAUUUUCACACAGCUAUGUAGCCAAUUGUUCUUUAUAC
rnacentral:lncRNA from 1 species